GUCUGAAUGUGCUUGGGCAUCACCUCAACUUUCAGUAACAGCCUCCAGCACUAAGCAUAACUUAACAGAUUCAGUGAUUAUCUGCGCUCUGAAGAGAAAAGCACAAGCUUGCUGUUCUGGGUGUUUCUUCCUCCAGCGUUCAGACUCCUCCGAAGUCGGUGCUACCAAGCUAUCACGGCUGCCUGAAGAGAUACCCGGCUUGCUUUCAUGCGAGCAUAAUAUCAGCUACUUCAUGAGGAUUUCUAAAGAAGAGUCUCAGGCUGGCUUGUUUCAAUAAGCACACUUCACACUUUCUUUUUGAAAAAGCCUUGCAAAUACUGGACAUUUGAAGAUGACGCCAAGUGAGGACCAAGUGAGGACCAAGUGAGGACCAGUUGAUAGAGGGACACUUGUCUGGGACAGGGCUGGGAGCAGUUGUGGAGAAGAUUUUAAGGAAAAAAAGGACAGCCACGCAGGGGAGCCAGGGCCCAGCAAGGUUGUGUCACCUCCGUCCCUGAAAGGUUUUCAAGCCCUGGUGGGAAAAAG
rnacentral:lncRNA from 1 species